AAGGUCUUAGCUUAAUUAAAGUGUUUGUUUUGCAUAUAAAAGAUGUGGGAUAGAGGCCCGCAGACCUUA
rnacentral:tRNA from 2 species